UACGUAGGGGGCUAGCGUUGUCCGGAAUCAUUGGGCGUAAAGCGCGCGUAGGCGGCCCGGUAAGUCCGCCGUGAAAGUCCAGGGCUCAACCCUGGAAUGCCGGUGGAAACUGCCGGGCUGGAGUCCGGAAGAGGCGAGUGGAAUUCCUGGUGUAGCGGUGAAAUGCGCAGAUAUCAGGAGGAACACCAAUGGCGAAGGCAGCUCGCUGGGACGGUACUGACGCUGAGACGCGAAAGCGUGGGGAGCAAACAGG
rnacentral:rRNA from 1 species